AUGUUUAARGAGAGCAGGCAUAAUUUUAAUCAAUAUUUUAUUUUGUUCGCCGAGCUAGAGUGAAACAUGGAGUUGAUCGUCAAAGCCACCUGGAACUUUCUUAUCGUUAUUGUCGGUGUUUAUCUUUACGCGGAAACAGGCCAAUCAGCACCAAUAUUCAAGCUGCCUGAUAAAAAAGUGUUGGAAGGAACUACUAUCAUCUUGCCAUGUGAACCUGCAGGUUUCCCCAAGCCAAAUAUCACGUGGUUAUUCAAUGAUGAUCCAAUCCCAUGGGAACAUUCAAUAGAUAAUGAUUAUUUGAUCCUCAACAAUGUUAGACAUGGAAGACAUGAUGGCCGAUAUACUUGUGUAGCUACCAGCAAGGCCGGUACAGUGUUCACUUCUGCAUCACUUAUCGUUCAUGUUAUAGUUAAACCAGUGAUCAGCAUCAAACCUACUGAUCAAAGAAAGCAAGAAGGAUCUGAUGUCAUCUUUCGAAUCAAAACUACAGGGUUCCCAUCACCAGCUAUCAAGUGGCUAUUCAACGAUGGGCCCACUUCAUGGAAUCAUUCUAUUAGCGCUUACCUAUUACAGCACCCAAGCCAGACGAGGCAUUGUAUGCUUUCGUUCACUUUCUCCAGCCCAUGUCAUAACUAGCAGCAAUAUUACCUGGUUGACGAUGUUGUAUUGUCUUUGUUUGUAAGAAUAUUUUCAAGGAUAACUACAAACAAACUAUUUCUCUAUUAUACACAAAUGACGUAUCUAUUUUCCACAAGAAUGUAUCAAAGUUCCACAAGAAUGUAUCUUGCAACAUUUACAAUAAAAAAGGAAAUACAUUUGUAACAAGUUUUGACACGGGAAAACGUGUCAAAUGUGAUGGUCACAUUGGAUACUUUGAAUAGAGUAGAAGACUAUUUGGGAUUUAGUCAUUGUAAGACAGAAGAAAGUCCGUGGAUUCGGUUUGACUAAAAUAGGAUAUCUUGUAAUGCUGAUAGAAGAGAUACGUUUUUCGUCGAGGCAAGAUUUUUUUACAGUCAAAUUGAACCAGCAUAAACGAGUCUUGGUCGCAAACCCCAAAGCAAGCCUCCGUCUCUCUCUAAGAACCAGUGUUAUGGUGGCUCCAUCGGUUCAAAAACAUCACAAAACAUUGAACAGAGGAUUCUCCAUCUACAGAAAAAGUUUGGUCUCGAAAAUAAACCUUCCCCCGAAUGAGAGAAAGGAAAGAAGACUCUUUCCUUUCUCUCUCUCGGGGGAAGGUAAAGGAGACUCUGCUCGCAGGGUAACCUCAGAAUGGAAAUAUUGCGAAAAACGUAUCUCUUUCCCUACGCUGCCCAUAGGCCCAAACCAAAAAACUUUAGCUAGCAAUGUAUUUAUAUUUACCUUUAAAACUUCAUCAUUGUCAUCGAAUGUUUGACGUUUAAAAGGUUGAUGAAGCUUUAAAUAGUCGUUUUCUCUUACUUGUGAACACCACGUUGAAUCUUGUCAAACUAACCGGUUUACUAGAGUGACCACAGUUAAUCCGUGAAACUCUAAAUACUAUUUAGUACAAUUUAGUGGAAUUUAGUGCGAAAAUAGCUGGACCGUGAAGUUCCGCUAAAUAGAUUGCGACAUGCAAAUCAAGUCAUUCAGCCGUUGAUGCAUGUGCAAAUCAAGGCUGGUGAUAGUUUCCAUCUAAUUUAAUGCGUAGAAUCUCAGAAUUUAAUCCGAGAAUACUAUGAAAUACACAGGUAUUCGGACUCAAGCAAGGGGACAGGGGGAUGGGUUGUUGUGCGUAAGUAUAAAGGAAUGUGAGUGAGUGUCAAUAGAGCACGAGGGCAUAGGAAGGGAAUAGGUUUCGUAUGGAUUAUAUAGAUGGGAAGGGAUGUAGGGAAUAGGUAGCAGCGAUGAUAAAAGGGGAAAUGAGGAAAAUGUAUUAUUUAUAGGGGUAAAUUCAAGGGCAACGUGAAGAGCAGGAUAAAUACGCCGCGUAUGGUGAUGGCACGCGUGGCGGGGGGCGGUGCUGAUAUGAUGUAUCGAAAAAUAAUUUGCUUGUAAGUUUGUAUGAUGAGCUCACGUGUAGGUAGAACCGUCGGUGAAUGUGUGCUGGACCUAGCGCCCUAUCAUGCAUCUAUCGUCAGGGGUGAAGAUGCAAGAUAGCGAAGAAAAUCGACGUGUUUCAAGACUCUUAGGCCCAUGAGCUUCACUCUACACGUGGCGCCAGGUCAACGGUUCUGCCUGUGGAAUAAGCAAUUGCGGCGGAUAAAGGGAACCACAAGACUACCGAGAUGGCAGAUCAAGGUAUAGAGAAGAGCGUAUCAAGGGAAGGAAAGACCCACUGUAAGAAACGAAGAAAAACGAAGCGGAAGGUGUACAGUCUUGGGUCUUCAAGGUUUACUGGGAUUGUGGUGGAUCUUGGGAGUGGAUGAUGUAUUCAUAAUCUUGGGUGACGAUUCCAGCAGAAUAAGAGAUGGCGGCAUAUCUCCAGAAAGGACGAGGUGGUAGAUUUCCAGCAGGUACUUCUAGCGAGUGGUGUAGUUAGCACUGAAGUUGAUAUUGUCUUUAAGAUGGAGGAGGAGGGGUGAAUAAAUUGGAGAGACGUUCCUUCUAUGUUUAAAGUUUUUCAGGUGCGCAUGCACUGACUGAGUGUUGGGCCUAGGGAAAAAAACAAAAAACAAAGCCUUAAGACAAGCUUGGCGCUGAGAGUGGAACGCUUUGCAGAGGCAGUGGGGAAGCGUUGACGUCAGAACUAGGCUUGGCUGAUCUGAUUCUAUGGCUUUGAAAAUGUACAAUAUUUCGUAAAUCAAAUGGCAUAGCAUGCAAAUGCUUGGAGACCAAAAACCAAACAAGAAUACUUAAAAAGCUGCAACCCACAGAAAGGCACCAAUUAUUGUUUUGGCCAGCCAUGCAUGGCCUAAUUGGCUUAUUCGUGCAAAUUUACUGAUAGAAAAUAAUCUAUUCUGGGUAAAAAAUGAAGAAAUCAAACAUGAAUUUAAAAAAGGGCAGCCCUAGAGGAAACCCCUUCAGUCUUAACUGCACUCGAAUGCCUCAAAGUAGGUUUGGAAUUCUAAAAUCAAACCGAAUUCCUGACACCCUAGGCUCUUUCGGGCAAGUCCUGGACCAAGGGUGAAGAGUAAGCUCUGGGGGGGAUGGGCAUCCCAGCAUAGUGACCUUCUUAAAAAACAGGUUAGAUAGAUAUAUAUAUAUGAUGUAUAAAAAGAUGAAUUAAUAAGAUGUAUUAAUAAGAUGAAAAAGAUGUAUUAAUAAGAUGAAAAAGAUGUAUUAAUAGAAGGAGGUGUAAACGGUUGUAGAUUGAAGUAAUAAAAUUAA